GAUUAACGCUGGCGGCGUGCAUAACACAUGCAAGUCGAACGAAGUGGCGGACGGGGGAGUAACGCGUGAGUAAACUGCCUUAGAGAAGGGGAUAGCCUUUGGAAACGAAGCAUAAUACCCAAUACUCUCAGAUGGGGUUGCGUCUGAUUAGUUAGUUGGUGAGGUAACGGCCCACCAAGACAGAGAUCAGUAGCAGGCUUGAGAGAGUGUACGGCCCCAUUGGGACUGCGACACGGCCCAAACUCCACGGGAGGCAGCAGUGGGUAAUUUUGCACAAUGGGGGAAACCCUGAGGCAGCGAGGCCGCGUGAUUUAGAAGGCCUUCGGGUUGUAAAAAUCUUUUCUAUUGGAAGCGGUACCAUAGGAAUAAGGACCGACUAAUUACGUGCCAGCAGCCGCGGUAAUAC
rnacentral:rRNA from 1 species